CUUCCCGGUUUGUCUGAAAAUGUUUCGGGCUCUCUCCAGGAAAACAUGAACUCAAGAAGCAAAAGGAGCCACUGUGUAGAUUUAUGAGCCCUCAUCCCGAGGAGACAGACUUGCGUCUUAAAAGUUAUCGAAAGCAAACGUGAUGCCCUGGGCGCCGAGGAAAAGUUGGAUGUUGUGCGGUGCCACGGCGGCCUGUGUGGCGGCUCUGUACGUGCCGUGUGUCCAGAGGAGCGUCCCCGGGGGAGACUCAGGAGAGCUGAUCACCACGGCUUGUGAGCUGGGGGUUGCUCAUCCUCCAGGAUACCCCGUCUUCACGCUCUUAGCCUGGCUGUCCAUGCGUCUUCUGCCCUCACUGUCUCCUGCCCACAGUGUCAACCUGAUGAGCAGCCUGCUGGGGGCGCUGGCCAGUAGUGCCCUCUGCCUUACUGUGUGCAGGUUAGAAGGCCCGGUUCCUGGAGCUGCUUUGGCUGGAGGGAUGUUCGCUGUGUCCAGACUGACCUGGCAGUGGUCUGUGGUGGCCGAGGUCUUCACCCUCAACAACCUUUGUGUUGGUUUGCUCUUCUUCUUGUCUGCCUGCUUCCAUUGUGCUGACAAUGGUCCCGAAAGAAGCAAAAUUGCACAUUUGGGGGCUUUUUGCUCUGGAUUUGGGCUCUGUAACCAGCACACCUUGGUUUUGUACAUGGUCGUAAUAAUUCCUUGGGUGCUACACCGUCUAUACGCUGAAAAGGAGUUGUCAUUGCACAGGCUUGUGUCUCUGGGGGUGUGUUUUGGAGCAGGUUUUUUGCCAUACAUCUACAUACCUGUGUCCUCCUUCCUAAACACUGCUCGCUGGAGCUGGGGAGACCAGACCUCUCUGUCUGGUCUCCUCACUCACCUGCUCAGGUCUGAGUAUGGCACCUUCAGUCUGGCAAAGACAUCAGGCUCUGUGAAUAUGACCAUGAUGCUUCAAGCCCAGCUGGAGCACUGCCUGGCAGACCUUUCACUUCCUGUGCUCGUGCUGGCAGGAAACGGGCUGCUUCUCUCCAUAAAGGACAAAAAAUGUGGCACUAUUUCGUUUCUUGUGACUGCCAUGCUGCUGGUUUACUCAUUGUUUUUUGCAUGGAGAGCCAACCUGGAUAUAGGUAGACCCCUGCUGCUGGGAGUGGUUGAGCGUUUUUGGCUACAAAGCGACGCUGCAGUGUGUGUGCUGGCAGGCCUUGGCCUGAGUCGGACCUGCAGUAUUUUAGAGAGGAAACUGGGCUGUGGGGCAUUAUGGAAGAUAACAGGCUGGCUCCUUACAAUCACUCUUGUGGCGCAUAUUGUGCACAUCAAUCACAAGGAAUGUGACCUUAGUACAAACAGUGUAGUGGAAAGGUUUGGCCAGGAGUUACUUUCCUCUGUCCCCAAAAACUCUAUCAUCUUGACCAGAGGAGAUCUCCCCGGAAAUUCUCUCCGCUACCUGCACUACUGUCAAGACGUGCGGCCAGACGUGCAGCUCGUGGAUCAGGAGAUGAUGACAUACAAAUGGUACAUUGCCAAACUGGGACAUCACCUUCAAGGAGUGCACUUUCCUGGCCGCUACUGGGACCCAGUUGACACUGAAGCAAAACAGACUUUCAGUUUAAAGAACUUUCUGUCCCGUAAUCCACAAAGAGAUGUGUUUGCCUGUAUUGGCUUGCCUGACGAAGACCAGAGCUGGGUGCAAAGCUUUUCCCGAUGGCCCUUUGGUGUGUGUGACUAUUUAGUGCCUGUUCACAAGAAUUUUCAUCCUGAAGAUUGGGCUCAGCGGACUCGCAACAUGUACAACUGGAGUGAGCCACACAACAGUUUCAGUGCUUCAUCUUGGGAGCGUGUUGCUAAUGAGGAGAUGUGGCAGGCCAGGAUGAAGACGGCUUUCUUUCUGUUUGACCUGGCAGAGAGGAUGAUGGGAGAGGCAAAAGCUCGCCUCUUUGAGCUCUCUUAUACUCUGUAUAAGGACAUAGUGGAGACUUAUUCUCAGUACCCUCCUAACUGGGACAAAAACUUGGCUCUGGCCUGUGAGAGGCUGCUUCGCUUAGGUCAUCAGGGCUACAGCUCAGACAGCCUGUUGACCUGCAGUGUGCAACACUUCCGCCUUUACUUACAGAAGGAGCCCAAGGAUCCACAGGCUGCUGCCAUACGCUCUGCCAUCACCCACCUGAGCAAGGAAAAGGACCGACUUCACCAGAGGCUAAGGAACACUACAUGAUAGCAUCUAUAGACCUAUGUAGACUCAGCGGUGAGCUGUGUCUAAAGACAUGACACUGUGAAUGUGCAGCCUUUCUCAGGAAAAAAGACUUCAAUGUUACACAGUUUACACUACUGCUGUCAGAAUAAUGUUUACAGUUUACUACAUAUAUGUUUUCUUAUAACUUUAAGGAUUUCCUGCCUGACCUCAUCUGAUUGUUUCCCUCCUACUCAAGCUGUACUGAUUUGUCCUCACUUAGUACAACUACGCUGAGGAAUGACCAAUUUGGAAGGCGAAACAAGGGAUUAAAUAAUCCCCUGUGGAUGUGAAUGAAAUGUAAAAUGUGCCAAUGCCAAGGAUCGUUUUUGAGUGUCAGUGGCAGCACAUCCUGCCUCUACCUAACCCCUCUGUUCCUCUCCUCUUUGCUGUCUCUGAGAGUCAGUUGCCCACCCUAAAUCACCGAGCUGCCGAGGAUUGUGGGAACCCAUGGAAUCGCCGUGACCAGGGGUGCAGGCAGGGAGCCACAGCAACGCUGGAAUGUGGGGCGUCUGAGGAGAUAAGAGCUGAGAGCCCAGCCAGAGAGAGGCAAGAGAUGGAGAGGAGCUGGAGGUGUGGGGUGGGGGGAACAGGAAGAGCACAAGUCUAUGAAUGGGAAUCAGAAACAACACCAUAAACAGCCACUGUGCAAGAGAGAGUGAGAUACAGAGUGGGGCACACUCUGGAGAUGGGAAGCCAGCCUUAUUCUUCUUUGCAUUUCAUUUACAUCCCUGGCCGUAUCGACCAAUCGGAUUGGGAGCAAAGCCCAUGGCUUAGGAGGGGAAUAAAAAGACAAAAUGCCUUUGCUGCUCUCAUCCCUUCCUGAUAAUACCCCUUCUGUUUUUCUUUUCUUUUUCUCUCCCGUCUAUAAGUAGAUACUGUCCGAAAUGCCAGCCCAAAACGACACCUCCGCUUGCUGUGUAUCUCCGAUAGACCAAGUGGGAGAAGGGGCUGAAAAGACAGCUUUAGGAGCUGGCCCUAUCUCCUCCACUCUCCCUGGCUGGAUGGAGGCUUGGAAAGGAGAGAGGGUGGAGCUCUGCAGUGUGUUGGUUAAUACAGUGUCAUAGACACUAUUCUGAACUAGCCACAAAGUCUUAUUUUCUGUAAAAGUUUGUCUCAUAAGUGCACAAUGCCCCUUUUCUAGGGCUUUGAUGGAAUACAUGCAUUCUUCUAGCACAUUUAGUGAAAGAGUGUCCCUUGUGCAUGGUGGGCAGAAUGCAAUAACUUGUCUGGAGUUAGUGUACUCACCAUCUCCAUCGUGUAGGUAGUGUAUGUUUAUUAAGCAGCCGGACAGAUAUGUGUUGUAGAAUUGGUGAUUAAAAUUGAAUCACGAUUUAAUUGCUGUGACAAUAUGCUAUUUUGGUAAAAUCAUUAUACUGUGAUUGACUGCUUCAUUGUUUAAUACACUAGUCACUCUAAAAACAACCCUUUUCCCGUCUCACUCCUCCAGCCUUUUUCAUGCCCUAAGUGAGUGACAGAUGAAUUUAACCAAUCACAGUGAAGUGUGACCUCUUAGAAGAACUAGAUGACUUCAGUGACAUCUUAAAGGCUGAAUACGAAGUUUUUAAAUCAUUAUGAUUGUGUGAUCUGGCUCUAAGUAUUCAUUUUUUAUCUUAUUGCUCCCCCAUAGUUGGUAACACCAUUGCAUUUGUAUGUUUCACUUCUUGUCAAAGGGAUUAAAAGUGAAUAGUACUUUUGUGUUGUUUUUACCUUGUCCUGUUUCUAAGGGUUAGACAUUUUGAAGUAGAGGUUUUGAGAAAGAAGAACUUCUCUAAAAGCAUUCAGAUUAAGAGAGCCCUUGACACCCCACAAACUGGUCAUUUGUAGAGUUUAUUGGGACCUGAAAUGUCAUUGUGCCCCUAAACAGCCUCAGUGGUCACAAAGUGGUCAUGUGUACAUCACGGCUGAGUUUAUUGUUGAGAGAGGAUGAAAACUGUACACAGAAGCAACUUAGUAGAACACAUUGGUGUGUCUUUAUGGUAAACAUGAAAUAACUGAGUUCUCCAGAGCGUAAACAGUUCCUGUUGUUAUCUUAUAUACACACAUUUGUUUAUUUGAUACAGCCCCUUUCCACCACGGCACUUGUGUAUAUCAAAGACGGCAGUGCAGCGCGUAAUUGAAAAUGUCUAGCGUGGAGAAAGGUCUCUCUCGGCUUUGACUGUGAAGAGGCAGAAAAAGCCCUGUGCUCUACUCUCUUCUUAGAUCUAUUUAAAUAAUUGAGGAGUAAACUGACAAAUUAGGUACCUUUAUAGGCGCCCCGGGGCUAUAUCUAGGGUGCUACAGUUUCACCAGUACAAGACAGCGCCACAAGGCACUGGAUAAUAUCUUGUGUGUGCUUUGAGAAGGAGGGGGUUGGGGUGCUAGUGGGCCAGGAGGGGUUUCGCCAAUCAAGCAGGCCACACUCGCUCCCCCAGGUUCUAAUUUUGUGCCACAUUAAAGAGCUCGGCCUCCAUUUAGGACACAGAGAGGCAUUUUCAUAAUUUGCAGGGUCUCCUCUAGCUCGGGGUGCCUUCUCUGCCUUUCCUCCUCACUCCGUGUCUGAACGGAGGGCCUGAGGAGGGAGACGGCUAAUUCACUUGCCUCCUUUUCAACCAACCAGCUUCAGUUCUGCAUAAUGUUGCUGCUAGGUGUGUAUAGCAGCUAAUAUUUAUCUCUUUAAUAAUUCCUUAUUAGACCCUCAUAUUAUUUGACUUUAUAAAAGCGAACAGUUCUCAUUGUCAGCUAUAGGGAAUCAUGUCAUCCACUCAUUGUUGAGACAUUAGCCCUAAUUUAUCCCUCUUAUUUCCUGAGAAGAGUUAAUGCCUCUGAUCUGUACCUAAUCUGUGGCCAAACAGCUAUGAUAUCUGCUGAGAUAAAACCUUUAGUCUCGUGUACACACUGUAUAAUGCAUAAUCCAGGUUAAAGUUGUUCAUUUCCUCUUGCUGACACCACCCAUUCAUCCACUAAGGCAUGCGUAAGCAUUGAUUCAUAUGUGAUUGGUCACAUAAUUCACAGUCUCAGGGGGCAUUUCAUUGCUGACAGACAAGCUAAUCUAAAAUCCUCCAAUUUACAAAUGAAAAUCCCACCAUCCAAUUGAGCUAAUAGAGAGACUUGAAUGGGAUAAUAAGAUGUGGUGUAAUACUGUGUAAAAGCCUGUAAUGUUGUGUUGGUGUGAGAAGCUCGUUGACUGGAUGUUUGACUGUUUGCAGUGAUUACCGGGGCCUGCGGGCCUGGCUGCAGCUUCAAGCCUGGGACAGAGAGCUCGUCUCUGGGCGAGGACAUACACAGGGACCUGAGGAGGCUGCAGCACCAGGAGAGUUUGGGUACUCUCUGCUCUUCUGUAUGCUCUUCUGUAUGCUCUUCUGUAUGCUCUUCUGUAUGCUCUUCUGUUUGCUCUUCUGUUUGUGCCUCUGUCUAUUCUUCUGUCUGUACUUCUGUCUCUUCUGUGUCAGUCCCUCCGUCAGUCCCUCUGUCUGUUGUCCUGCCUGCCUGUCUGUACUAUUGCAGUGCUUGCAGAUGUGCACAAACAAGGGGGGAUUAAAGCAAAACGAAUCUAAACAGACAAAUGGAAUUAGAGUGAUGGGUGUCGGUGGGCUGGUUCACACUGAUAAACAUAAUGAUGCUCUGUGUGUGCGCUCCUGUCUAGAGGAUUAUCAGUGGUUAGGUGUGUGCUGGGUAUGGCGCGCUCACUGCUUUUGGGUGUCUGUGUGUUUGCCUAUCUGUCUCUGUUUUUGUAAUUAUGUACAUGUUUAUUUGCUCUUGAAUCAGCUCUCUACUUGUGUGUGUGUGUGUGUGUGUGUAUGAUAAUAAAUAUGUUUUUCCAUAUAGCUUUGCAAAAACAAGUCCUUCUACCCCCUUUCUGUGCGCGGACAGGCUUCCGUUGGUAGGGCCAUUAGCAUCUUGCCAAUCAAAUGGCUGUUAAUAUUUGUGCACUUAGGACUGUAUACCAGCCAAUUAUUGACAUAGAAAAGAUAGCAGCAUGAGUUUGAAAUUAACAAUGUUUUAUUGUCCUGCAUGAUAAAGGAGACUGUUGAUAAAAGUCACGCAUGUUAUUCUAGUGCUUUUUGUUUAUUAUUUUAUUAUGGUUGGGGAAAUUUUUGUCCUGUUUCUGUACAAUUAUAACAUUUGAGUUGGUCAAACAAACAUAC